rnacentral:rRNA from 1 species
AUUGAACGCUGGCGGCAGGCUUAACACAUGCAAGUCGAGCGGGGUUUUCGGACCUAGCGGCGGACGGGUGAGUAAUGCGUAGGAAGCUACCCGAUAGAGGGGGAUACCAGUUGGAAACGACUGUUAAUACCGCAUAAUGUCUACGGACCAAAGUGUGGGACCUUCGGGCCACAUGCUAUCGGAUGCGCCUACGUGGGAUUAGCUAGUUGGUGAGGUAAUGGUUCACCAAGGCGACGAUCCCUAGCUGGUUUGAGAGGAUGAUCAGCCACACUGGAACUGGGACACGGUCCAGACUCCUACGGGAGGCAGCAGUGGGGAAUAUUGGACAAUGGGCGCAAGCCUGAUCCAGCCACGCCGCGUGUGUGAAGAAGGCCUUCGGGUUGUAAAGCACUUUCAGCGAGGAGGAAGGGGUGAGUGUUAAUAGUACUCAUCUUUGACGUUACUCGCAGAAGAAGCACCGGCUAACUCUGUGCCAGCAGCCGCGGUAACAC